rnacentral:rRNA from 1 species
UCCAGACUCCUACGGGAGGCAGCAGUGGGGAAUAUUGCACAAUGGGGGAAACCCUGAUGCAGCGACGCCGCGUGAGCGAGGAAGUAUUUCGGUAUGUAAAGCUCUGUCAGCAGGGAAGAAGAAUGACGGUACCUGAAGAAGAAGCACCGGCUAAAUACGUGCCAGCAGCCGCGGUAAUACGUAUGGUGCAAGCGUUAUCCGGAUUUACUGGGUGUAAAGGGAGCGCAGGCGGUUCUGCAAGUCUGAUGUGAAAGCCCGGGGCUCAACCCCGGGACGGCAUUGGAAACUGCAGGACUGGAGUGUCGGAGGGGUAAGCGGAAUUCCUGGGGUAGCGGUGAAAUGCGUAGAUAUCAGGAGGAACACCGGUGGCGAAGGCGGCCUGCUGGACUGCAACUGACGUUGAGGCCCGAAAGCGUGGGGAGCAAACAGGAUUAGAUACCCUAGUAC